rnacentral:rRNA from 1 species
UAGCCUACGGGACGCAGCAGUGGGGAAUAUUGCACAAUGGGCGAAAGCCUGAUGCAGCAACGCCGCGUGAAGGAAGACGGUUUUCGGAUUGUAAACUUCUAUCAAUAGGGAAGAAAGAAAUGACGGUACCUAAAUAAGAAGCCCCGGCUAACUACGUGCCAGCAGCCGCGGUAAUACGUAGGGGGCAAGCGUUAUCCGGAUUUACUGGGUGUAAAGGGAGCGUAGACGGUGCAGCAAGUCUGAUGUGAAAGGUCGGGGCCCAACCCCGGGACUGCAUUGGAAACUGUUGAACUGGAGUACAGGAG